rnacentral:rRNA from 1 species
UGAGUAACACGUAUGCAAUCCACCUGUAACAGGGGGAUAACCCGGAGAAAUCCGGACUAAUACCCCAUAAUAUGGGCGCUCCGCAUGGAGAGCCCAUUAAAGAGAGCAAUUUUGGUUACAGACGAGCAUGCGCUCCAUUAGCCAGUUGGCGGGGUAACGGCCCACCAAAGCGACGAUGGAUAGGGGUUCUGAGAGGAAGGUCCCCCACAUUGGAACUGAGACACGGUCCAA